CUGAACUAUAAAUAUAGUAGACGAAGAAAUUUAUUAGUAAUGAUAAACAACAAAAAGAAUUGAGGGAAUCCAAGGUACAAAAUCUCAGCCAAAUUUCUACUCAUUAUUAGUUUAAGGCCACCAUAAAUGAAAAGAGGGAGAAAUUUUCGGUGGCACCCUCUGAAGGUCCAUUAUUGGAUGAAUUUGGUUUUGUUAUACCAAGUAUCAUCAGCAGCAAUUUGUUGAAGUAAUGUUGUCCUACUGUGUCAUUAUUUAUGCUUGAAUCAUCCUUGUCCAAAUGCAUCCACCUUUUCCAUAUUCCCUCAUUUUAAAGACAAUUACCACGAGAAAAAUGCUAUAGCCGCUCAAGUUCAUGAAUCACAUGAGCAAGCAGGGAAGAGAGAGGUUUCUCUAGACUGAUUGAGUGGGCACACUAUGAAGACCCCGAGAGUGGAAUCUCCAAAACACAUUCGUUUCA
rnacentral:lncRNA from 1 species